rnacentral:sRNA from 1 species
GUUCGGAAAUUGCCGCGUCGCUCUAAAAUAUUUUCCGCGUUUUAUGACAGUUCUUAUUAGGAAACAAACAUCGCUCCGGAGCGAGGGAAGAACUUGUAAGUGCUUCCCGCUCUUGCCUCUAUUUUUCACAUGUCAAUAAAAGCGCUGCUCCGAAAGUGGGUCACAUUUUGACUGAGAUUGACCCGAACCAGGCCAAGAUACACACACGCAUCCGGCGUGGACGCGGAGUGGCGGGCAGGGGAUUAAUUAAACGCAUUACUUGUGCAAACUAAUUCAUCUAAACUGUCAUCAUCAUUUCGAGCUACUGUCAGGCAUUAGACGUUGAUGAAAAACUUAACACAUUACCCAACUCUGUUCUAGUCCGGCGCGAGCGGGAGCUGGGAGCUGGAAGCCGGGAGGAUUGGUCGGAAAAAGUCAGUUUUAAUUAUGUCGGAGCUGGGCCAGCAAAUAUUAAUGAGCCAGCCGGAGCACGCACGCCGGCAACCUGGCAACCCGGCAACCCUUAUGAAUAUUGCAUGGCCCGGCUACCCAUGUGCUAAUCAAUCAAUUUUUUCGACACUCGCAAUUGUUCGGACAGUUCGGCGUGUCUUUGCAAAACCACCGGCUGAGAGUGGCGCAUUCGUAGUUGCCUCCACAUACAUAGUCGCUCGCUGUGUGGAUUGUACAAUGGCUUAAAAAGUUAUUCCUGGCAGCUCUGAUUGAGUGGCACGACCUCUCCGCGACCUCCUCCCGCGCUGAUGUAUGACAAAGAUUUGACAGCUCUAAUUCGAAUCUUGUGUACUAUUUACAUGUGGAAUGAGGAGCGCUUGGAGUGGUCGGAGCGGGGCACUAAUGAACUACAUAUGUCAGCAGAUGGAAAAUUACAAAAUCUUGUAUCUGGUAGCUUCUGCCUUUUAAAGUGCACCCUGGCUGGCAGCCACCCCGCUUCCUUCCGAGCCAUCCACUUGAUGUCAGCCACAAUGAAUAAAUAGACGUUGGCUGGUGACCGAGAUGCA